rnacentral:rRNA from 1 species
ACGGGGGGGGGCAAGCGUUGUUCGGAAUUACUGGGCGUAAAGGGCUCGUAGGCGGCCAACUAAGUCGGAUGUGAAAUCCCCAGGCUCAACUUGGGAACUGCAUCCGAUACUGGAUGGCUUGAAUUCGGGAGAGGGAUGCAGAAUUCCAGGUGUAGCGGUGAAAUGCGUAGAUAUCUGGAGGAAUACCGGUGGCGAAGGCGGCAUCCUGGACCGACAUUGACGCUGAGGAGCGAAAGCCAGGGGAGCAAACAGGA